rnacentral:rRNA from 1 species
AUACGUAGGGGGCGAGCGUUGUCCGGAAUGAUUGGGCGUAAAGGGCGCGUAGGCGGCCCGGUAAGUCUGGAGUGAAAGUCCUGUUUUUAAGAUGGGAAUUGCUUUGGAUACUGUCGGGCUUGAGUGCAGGAGAGGUAAGUGGAAUUCCCAGUGUAGCGGUGAAAUGCGUAGAGAUUGGGAGGAACACCAGUGGCGAAGGCGACUUACUGGACUGUAACUGACGCUGAGGCGCGAAAGUGUGGGGAGCAAACAGGAUUAGAUACCCUGGUAGUCCACACUGUAAACGAUGAAUGCUAGGUGUAGGGGGUAUCGACCCCUUCUGUGCCGCAGUCAACACAAUAAGCAUUCCGCCUGGGGAGUACGGCCGCAAGGUUGAAACUCAAAGGA